GAUGAACGCUGGCGGCGUGCUUUACACAUGCAAGUCGAACGGAAAGGGCCUUUUCUUGUGGGGUACGCGAGUGGCGCACGUAUGAGUAACACGUGAGUAGCCUGACCACGGCUGUGGGCUAACGCUAGUAAACCGGGGCCAGUACAGGAUAGGAGGUACUGCUGCAAGGGGGGGGCUGGCAAGUGUUGGCGGAUGGGGAUGGGCACGAGGCUUAUCAGCUGGUUGGUGGGGUAGUGUCUGACCAGGGAAUUGACGGGUAGCCGGCCGGAGCGGGUGACGGGCCACAUUGGUGCUGAUAUGAGGCCGAGACUCCUACGGGAGGCAGCAGUAGGGAAUAUUGCUCAAUGGUCGGAGGCCGGAUGCAGCAACGACGCGUGCGGGAUGACGGCCUUCGGGUUGUAAACCGCUUUCGCCUGUGACGAAGCGUGAGUGACGGUAAUGGGUGAAUAAGCACCGGCUAACUACGUG
rnacentral:rRNA from 1 species